rnacentral:rRNA from 1 species
CAGCAGCCGCGGUAAUACGAAGGGUGCAAGCGUUAAUCGGAAUUACUGGGCGUAAAGCGUGCGUAGGCGGUUUAUUAAGUCUGUUGUGAAAUCCCCGGGCUCAACCUGGGAAUGGCAAUGGAUACUGGCAAGCUAGAGUGUGUCAGAGGAUGGUGAAAUUCCCGGUGUAGCGGUGAAAUGCGUAGAGAUCGGGAGGAACAUCAGUGGCGAAGGCGGCCAUCUGGGACAACACUGACGCUGAGGCACGAAAGCGUGGGGAGCAAACAGGAUUAGAGACCCCCGUAGUCCCUGUCUCUUAUAC